rnacentral:misc_RNA from 1 species
CCUUGGAUCAGGUAGGGAUACCCGCUGAACUUAAGCAUAUCAAUAAGCGGAGGAAAAGAAACCAACAGGGAUUGCCCUAGUAACGGCGAGUGAAGCGGCAACAGCUUAAAUUUGAAAUCUGGCUCCCUUGGGGGUCCGAGUUGUAAUUUGUAGAGGGUGCUUUGGUGUUAGCUGUGGUCUAAGUCCCUUGGAACAGGGCGUCACAGAGGGUGAGAAUCCCGUAUGUGGCCAGCAGCUUCCGCCUUGUAAAGCCCCUUUCGACGAGUCGAGUUGUUUGGGAAUGCAGCUCUAAAUGGGAGGUAAAUUUCUUCUAAAGCUAAAUAUUGGCCAGAGACCGAUAGCGCACAAGUAGAGUGAUCGAAAGAUGAAAAGCACUUUGGAAAGAGAGUCAAAAAGCACGUGAAAUUGUUGAAAGGGAAGCGCUUGCAGCCAGACUUGCUCGUAGUUGCUCAUCCAGGCCUUGUGUCUGGUGCACUCUUCUGCGGGCAGGCCAGCAUCAGUUCAGGCGGUCGGAUAAAGGCUCUGGGAAUGUGGCUCCUCUCGGGGAGUGUUAUAGCCCAGGGUGCAAUGCGGCCAGCUUGGACUGAGGUCCGCGCUUCUGCUAGGAUGCUGGCGUAAUGGCUGUAAGCGGCCCGUCUUGAAACACGGACCAAGGAGUCUAACAUCUAUGCGAGUGUUUGGGUGUCAAGCCCGAGCGCGCAAUGAAAGUGAACGGAGGUGGGAACCCCUUGGGGUGCACCAUCGACCGAUCCUGAUGUCUUCGGAUGGAUUUGAGUAAGAGCAUAGCUGUUGGGACCCGAAAGAUGGUGAACUAUGCCUGAAUAGGGUGAAGCCAGAGGAAACUCUGGUGGAGGCUCGCAGCGGUUCUGACGUGCAAAUCGAUCGUCAAAUUUGGGCAUAGG